UACAGAGGUCCCAAGCGUUGUUCGGAUUCAUUGGGCGUAAAGGGUGCGUAGGCGGCGCGGUAAGUCGGGUGUGAAAUCUCGGGGCUUAACUCCGAAACUGCAUUCGAUACUGCCGUGCUUGAGGACUGGAGAGGAGACUGGAAUUUACGGUGUAGCAGUGAAAUGCGUAGAUAUCGUGAGGAAGACCAGUGGCGAAGGCGGGUCUCUGGACAGUUCCUGACGCUGAGGCGCGAAGGCCAGGGGAGCAAACGGG
rnacentral:rRNA from 1 species